rnacentral:miRNA from 1 species
UCUACUAGAAUCAGAGCUAGUUUGGAAUAGAGAUGCAGACCUGUUGUUUCAGCACUCAGGAGGCUGAGGCAGGAGGAU